UGGCCUAUGGUGUAAUUGGCAACACUACUGAUUUUGGUUCAGUCAUUCAAGGUUCGAGUCCUUGUGGGACAACCA
rnacentral:tRNA from 1 species